AUUCUAUCAUUUAUUAAGUAUCCUUAAUAAUUUUCUCCUCGAUAUCUCUAAAAUUAUCUAGACCGUUAAUCACUCAUUGAUUAUGAUGCUUGAUUAACUCCAAAUUGAGAUAAAAUUUGAGUACAUAAAACUAAUUAUUUCGUAGGAAUCUUUGAGAAAGAUAAUUAGCCAAAUUGAGGGAGCACCACGUCUAUGCCAGCUAGAGUCAAGAACACACCAUGCCCAUCAAUAAAGGACCUCUCACCUAACAAAGAAUGCACACAUCAAACUCAGGUAGUAUCCUUGUUAAAUUUUAUUUUGGCUUUGUUAUAAUUCUCUUCUUCUAUUGGGGACAAUGAAAAUUUAUAAAUUGAGGGGGGGGGA
rnacentral:lncRNA from 1 species